GUGAGUUAUUUAAAAGCUGAUUUUCUUGUGGCUCUAAAACCUCUCUGUUCCUCUACUUUGUGCUUUCUUUCUUCCACACAAUUUAGGUCAUCAAAGUAAGCAUCUUUGAAGGAGUGACAAGCAAAAUACAGCUGCAGGAUCAGUGACUCACGGUUAAUCAGCUUUGCCUUCUGUCAUUGUUGACUGCUGGAGGUGGUGAUCCAUGUCAGUCACUGAAACAGCACCUUGGCAAGACUGCAGUCUGCUAGUGGAGUUUUUGUGUAUGGGAACACUUUUAGAUAAUGAGAUUUUCAUCUAACCUGAGCACAACACUCAGUGCCUGGAACAUAGUCCAUCAGAGCCUCAGAAAAUCCAGCAAAACCAGUCUCAGGUGAACCCAGCGAAGGCACAAACAGGACAGUGAGAAAAAUUUUUCCACAUGUAACAGUAAAACGGCCUAAUCCAUUUAAAGUAGGAUGUGGUAAGCCAAUACUUAUCUUGGAUAUCCACUACUACUUCACUAGUGCACAUUUCCAAAAUGAAUACUCUAGCUAAAGGAAAGUUAGAUAUAUUGUUAAGUAGAUGUCUACCAUUGGUUGCAACUUUUAAACAUGAUUUAGCACCAAACAAAGAAAUGUAGGGAUUAAUAUUCAACUGUAUUAUCACACAUUACAAAUGAUUAAAUCUGGC
ensembl:lncRNA